GAGGGUAUAGCUCAAGUGGCAGAGCGCUUAUCUAGCAUGCAUGAGGUCCUGGGUUCAAUCCCCAGCUCCUUCU
rnacentral:tRNA from 1 species